AGCUUUGCGCAGUGGCAGUAUCGUAGCCAAUGAGGUUUAUCCGAGGCACGAUUAUUGCUAAUUGAAAACUUUUCCCAAACAAAUAUAUAUAUAUAUAUAUAUAUAUAUAUAUAUAUAUAUAUAUAU
ensembl:snRNA U4 U4 spliceosomal RNA